rnacentral:rRNA from 1 species
AUGGCUUCCUCCACGCCUUACCGUGUCCUACUCUUGUGCCUCACCACUUUCCUGCAGGCAUGGCUUGCUGCGGCAAAAUACCCGCCGCAUAACCCACCGCCGCCGCCCCCGCCGUUUGAGCUGCCGGAGUCCGAGGUGAGGGAGAGGUUCUCCAAGUGGGUGAUCAAGUACUCAAAGCACUACUCGUGCCAUGAGGAGGAGGAGAUGCGGUUCCAAGUCUUCAAGAACAACACCAACGCCAUCGGCCAAUUCGACCAACAGAAUCCUGGCACCGUCGUCGGUCGCGGGUUCCGACCAACUGGGUUUCAGGUCCGUGGCUCGGGCGGGGUCCGUAUGAACAGGUUCGGCGACCUCAGCCCCAGGGAGGUCAUCCAGCAGUUCACCGGGCUCAACACCACCAGCUUCAAUGCCACGUCACCCACCUACCUCCCCUACCACUCCUUCAAGCCCUGCUGCGUUGACUGGCGCUCCAGCGGCGCUGUCACCGGCGUCAAGAAUCAAGGCACUUGUGGAUCAUGCUGGGCAUUCGCGGCGGUGGCGGCGAUCGAAGGCAUGAACAAGAUUAGGACAGGGGAGCUGGUGUCGCUGUCCGAGCAGGUACUCGUGGAUUGCGACACACGGAGCGGCGGCUGCGGCGGCGGCCACUCAGACUCGGCUAUGGCCCUCGUGGCCGCCCGUGGUGGCAUCACGUCGGAGGAGAGGUACCCAUACGCCGGAUUCCAGGGAAAGUGCGACAUGGACAAGCUCCUCUUCGACCACCAGGCGUCCCUCAAGGGCUUCAAGGCCGUGCCACCCAACAACGAAGGUCAGCUGGCGAUUGCCGUGGCCAUGCAGCCCGUGACGGUCUACAUUGACGCCAGCGGUUUUGAGUUCCAGUUCUACUCCGGCGGCAUCUACCGUGGCCCCUGCUCCGCCAAUGUGAACCACGCCGUCACCAUCGUCGGCUACUGCGAGGGUCCCGGCGAGGGAAACAAGUACUGGAUUGCCAAGAACUCGUGGAGCAACGACUGGGGUGAACAAGGAUAUGUCUACCUCGCAAAGGACGUGCCCUCGUCCACGGGCACAUGUGGCCUCGCCACCUCGCCCUUCUACCCCACGGCUUGA